rnacentral:rRNA from 1 species
CCCCUAGAUGUUCUGGGCCGCACGCGCGCUACACUGAACAGUUCAACAAGUCUUAACCUUGGCCGAUAGGUCUGGGUAAUCUUUGAACGCUGUUCGUGAUUGGGAUAGACCUUUGCAAUUAUGGGUCUUCAACGAGGAAUUCCUAGUAAACGCAAGUCAUCAGCUUGCAUUGAUUACGUCCCUGCCCUUUGUACACACCGCCCGUCGCACCUACCGAUGGAAUGGUCCGGUGAAAUCUCGGGACGGCGGCUUGGUCGCUUGCGUCCGACUGCUGAAACUUGAUUAAACCAUAUCAUUUAGAGGAAGGUGAANUCGUANCA